AGAGAGAGAGAGAGAGAGGAGAGAGAGAGGCAGAUUGGGAAAGAAUAGUGAUAAGCUCUUUAAUGAAUUUUUCCUUCGUAAAUUUCGUUAUCAGUUUCGUUAAUAGUAACAUUAAAUUUUCUUACAACAGUAUAGUCUUAAAAUCAGUUAGAUAUUUUCGGUGUAAAUUUAUCUACGAUCUGUGAGUGGACGGUAUAUCUGAUAAGUGGCCAACUGAUUUGUUUACCCUGAUAACAACACACUCACACACACACACAUAUACGUAUAUAUACAUAUCAAAGUAAGCGGAGACGAAAGUUUUGGGUUUCGAUACAGCUGUUCAGUGACUAGCUUUACUCGUAUCUAAAUUUCAGUGGCAUAAGAGAUGUGGAGAAUAAAAUGUAUCCUCAGUGUAAGCUUGAUUGCAGUAAGUCUUCACUUGUAUAUCCCAACGAUAUCUGCAAGAGAUGUGUCUUUUGAUUCGUUUGUUUUCUCACAACAAUGGCUACCAACUUUUUGUAUGCAUGCAACAGAAGAGGUAAGAAUAGCUUGUAAAAUUCCAGACAUGGUGAAAAACUGGGUAAUCCAUGGAAUUUGGCCUGAAUCCUCUAAGAAACCAGAUCCUCCAGCUUUCUGCAAUUCCAGUUGGCACUUUAAUGAAUCAGAUAUCAAGUCCAUCGAGGAUGAACUGAAAAUACGUUGGCCUAAUGUCUUCACUUCUACAGGAAGGACCUCAUUUUGGAAACAUGAAUGGGAAAAACAUGGAACUUGUGCUGUGGACAAACCCUAUAUCUUCAAUGAGAAAUCUUACUUUGAGAUGGGGAUCAAACUUAACAAGCAAUAUAACCUUAGACAUAUUUAUGAAAGGAGUGGCAUUAUUGCAGUGAACUAUACAUCUUACAAGUGUGAAGACUUCAGAAAUGUAAUCAAAAAAAAUUGGAAUGUUGAGUCUAUUAUAACCUGUGUUCACAGUAAGGAACACAGACAAUAUAUCUUGCAGACUGAAAUUUGUUUUGAUAAAAGUUUCAAACCAAUAGACUGUAAACGGGAUCAAAAAUGCCUUCAAUGCUCACAAAAAGAGAACAUUUGGUAUCCCCCAUUAGAGAACACAGCUACACCUGUUUCUUCACUGUUGGGAAGAGAACACCAUGCAAAUCUUUUAUGGGAGUUUGUACCUACAAGAAUGAUAAUAGUGGCACUAGCAAUGGUGUUAGCAGUAGAGGGUACUGUUGAAUUGCUGACAUAGGAAGAGAAAUCCACUUCAAUGAUACCCAUCUGUGCAAUAAGAAGGUGCAUCUCCUUUCUUUAUUCUAAAUUUACAUUUACAUAAUACAUUGUGAAGUGUAUUUUAUUUCAUUUGUCUUCAUUUAAUUUUUAAAUAUGAAGUUAUAUUUUAUGCUGGACUCACAAUACACCUUUUAAUAAUAAUAAUAAUAAUAAUAAUAAUAAUAAAUAAUUAAGGUAUAGAGCCAAUGAUUUUGAAAGGAGAAGUCACUUGAUUAAAUUACUCCCAGAUUGUGACUGUUACAUUAUUUUCUCACUCCCAGAGAUAGAAGGUAAAGUAGAUCUUGACAGGAUUUGAAAUCAAAAUCUUAAAAGCCAAUGCUUUUUGAUUCUACCAAUAAUAAAACUAUGAUAGUAUUUUGAACAGGAAUGGGGAGGUGCCUGAUUACAUGUAAUGAAAAUGCAGAAUAGAUCAAAAUAGUUGAGAUGGAACUGAGCAAUACAAAGAAGUAAAUACCAUUCUCUAUAACUAGGGACAAUGUCCUGAAGCAGUAAAAGACACUACCAAACUGGAGAACCCCAAGAGCAAAUAGGAUCCAAGGACUUUGAAUAGAACAUUUGAAAUCCUUUCAUGGUCAAAUCAGAAAUCAUCCAAAUGAAGUAGAAAAAUUAUUGCUCAGUCAGCUUCCUCUGUUACUAAGAGGCAUUUUAUGCAGAUCAGAUUGCUGUUAGCAGACUGCUGCUAUAAAGAAUGCAAUAAACAUUCAAAAGACAUUGAAGACCAUCAACAAAAUAAUAGUGAAACAUCAAGAGACUAAUCUGUGCAGGAUGUGGGUCAACUUCAAAAAAGCCUGUGGUGUACUGCUGCAUUCUUGAAUUAUAGUAUGACUUUGAAUGUUCAGCAUAGCUGAAUAGGUCAUUAUUAGACAGAAGCAAAUGCCGGUCAUUUAUAUAUGGGAUGCAAGGUUAAAGGGAGAUAACUUUUAAAGUAUUUUCUGUUGUGUCUGGGUAGAGUUAUUUUCUUUUUGUGCCUUAUAAUAUAACACAUGCACCGGUAAAAUUUCCACUUAUUUCUUAUUUUUAUUUUCCUAAAAUUUUUGUUGCGUCUUGCAACCUUUUCAAUAGUCUUGACUCUUAAAGUAUUUCUGAUUGUAAAUGAAGUGCAACUGUCAGUUGAACCAUAUCUUGCAAAAAAUAAAGAACUACUUGAACCUAUCGCAAAAGAACUAGAACUUGUUUACGUUGAAUUUGAAGAAAAUUAUAUACAAUAAAUUGUAAAAGAAAGGAAGCAAUAGAGAAAAAUGCAGUUUUAUGGAAAGUUCCUCAGAGAUGCUGAGAGUGAGAAAUUCAAGACUCAUCAUGAAGAGUAAAAUAGAAAGUUUGUUGGCAGCUGUUCCAGAUCAAGCCUCAAAUACUAAUUCAGUGAAUAAAGGUAUUUAUUUUUCCCACUUCAGGGAAUAAAUGCCAGUUAUGUAAUCACCAAGUGGAAAACAUUGACCACAUUGUAACAGGCCGUAAAAUAUUAGCUAAGAAAGAAUACAAAUGAUGGCAUGUUAAUGUCUGUCUUAAUUUACACCAAUCACUUUGGUGCAUGCAUGCAUAUGUGUGUAUGGAUACCCAGUUCAUUAUUUUUCAUGCCUUCAUAAGAUCUAUGCACAAACUCCAAAAUAGG